rnacentral:rRNA from 1 species
AAAAAUGCACAUAUUGUGAGCUUGAUGAGUAGGGCGGGACACGUGGUAUCCUGUCUGAAUAUGGGGGGACCAUCCUCCAAGGCUAAAUACUCCUGACUGACCGAUAGUGAACCAGUACCGUGAGGGAAAGGCGAAAAGAACCCCGGCGAGGGGAGUGAAAAAGAACCUGAAACCGUGUACGUACAAGCAGUGGGAGCACGCUUAGGCGUGUGACUGCGUACCUUUUGUAUAAUGGGUCAGCGACUUAUAUUCUGUAGCAAGGUUAACCGAAUAGGGGAGCCGAAGGGAAACCGAGUCUUAACUGGGCGUUAAGUUGCAGGGUAUAGACCCGAAACCCGGUGAUCUAGCCAUGGGCAGGUUGAAGGUUGGGUAACACUAACUGGAGGACCGAACCGACUAAUGUUGAAAAAUUAGCGGAUGACUUGUGGCUGGGGGUGAAAGGCCAAUCAAACCGGGAGAUAGCUGGUUCUCCCCGAAAGCUAUUUAGGUAGCGCCUCGUGAAUUCAUCUCCGGGGGUAGAGCACUGUUUCGGCA